GGGAGUUUAGCUCAGCGGCAUAAGCGCCUGCCUUGAAAGCAGGCAGUCGUGAGUUCAAUCCCCA
rnacentral:tRNA from 1 species